GGCUCCGCCGCGUAGACGGUCCUCCCACCGCAGCUCAGCCCGAACUGAAGCCUCCCGGCGGACCCCCGCCCCCCGCCCCGGGCAGAGUUCGCAACAGGGGGCAGGUUAAAAGAGGCUGUUGGCCGAGGACGCCUGAAGCGCUUGAAGGACACCAGGGACCCAGGAAAUCAGGAGUUUUGCUGCGUGAUUCUGGCUCAGUCUCUCAUGAGAUUGCAAUCAUCCGAAGACAUUUUUCUAAAGGCGUGGCUAAUGCCGAAGAUGUGAGUCUAAGCUGGCUGACACGGUCGUCGGCAAGAGACCCAAGUUACUUGCUGGCUGUUGGCUGAAGGCCUCAGUUACUUGCCACGUGAGUCUCUCCAUGGGUUUAUUGUGCUGCUGGCCUCCCCCAGACCAAGUGAUCCAAAAGAGAACAAGAGCAAAGAGGAAGCUACGACACCUUUCCAUGGCUUCGUCUUGUAGGUGACACUUCUGCAAUAUUCACGCUCACAGAGUACAGCAGAAAGAUGAAGCUUGGAGGCACCUUGAAUACUCUAGCUGGAAAUCUUCAUUAGUAGGCACAUCUUCCUGUAGGCCAGUGCGUUGCUGGCUUCCUGCCAGGGUGACGAGGAUCACAUCAUCUCCAGGCUCCAGCAAGAGUUUUCUCGCUCUCCUUAGUGUAACCGAGCCUCCUCAGGUCUAUAUCCUUCUACUAACAGUCUUUUCAAGGCAGGUCAUGAUUUCACUAAUACUGUCUUCAAAAUCAUUCCAGCUUUUGUCCCCUGCCUGAGUCCAAGAGCACUCCUGCAUUUUAGGUGUGCGUUAUGGCUGCACCUGACUUCCAGGGAUCAAAAUAGUUGUUUUUAACCUAUUGCUGUCUGACACAUUAACAACACUUAAAAGAUGUAUACAAACACAAUUUUGAUAGAUGGUGCCAAGUUUUUCUCCAAAAUAGGUAGCAGUGUAGGAGAAUUUCCAUUUCCCCACAACUUCAUAUCACAAUGUUGUUAAUCUUUCCCAAUUUGAAAGCAUGUUUUAAUUUGUGCUUCCUUGAUUACUCAUGAAGUUGAAUAAAAUGACCAUUUUAUAUAUUCUUCCAGUAAGAGCUUUUUUUCAUAUCCCUUGGGUUUUCUUUCUUUAAUGAUUUGUGUGAAUGUUUUAAAAAUUAUGGACAGUAAUCUCUACAGUAUAUUGCAAAAAUGUUCUACCAGUCCCUCCAUUUUCUUUUGUCUUUAUGUGACAUUUUGUCUUAAAGUGGUUUUAACUAUUUUUGAGCUCUUAUUUUUCAGGCAGCCUGGGUGGCUUAGCGAUUUAGUGCCACCUUCAGCUCAGGUCAUGAUCCUGGGGUCCCGGGAUUGAGUUAAGCUCCCUGCAUGGAGCCUGCUUCUCCCUCUGUCUGUGUCUC